AAUGAACGCUGGCGGCAGGCCUAACACAUGCAAGUCGAACGGAUCCUUCGGGAUUAGUGGCGGACGGGUGAGUAACGCGUGGGAACAUACCCUUUGGUACGGAAUAGCCUCGGGAAACUGGGAGUAAUACCGUAUGUGGUCGAGAGACGAAAGAUUUAUCGCCAAAGGAUUGGCCCGCGUUGGAUUAGGUAGUUGGUGGGGUAAUGGCCUACCAAGCCGACGAUCCAUAGAUGGUUUGAGAGGAUGAUCAGACACACUGGGACUGAGACAAGGCCCAGACUCCUACGUGAGGCAGCAGUGGGGAAUCUUAGACAAUGGGGGAAACCCUGAUCUAGCCAUGCCGCGUGAUCGAUGAAGGCCUUAGGGUUGUAAAGAUCUUUCAGGUGGGAAGAUAAUGACUGUACCACCAGAAGAAGCCCCGGCUAACUCCGUGCCAGCCGCCGCCGUAA
rnacentral:rRNA from 1 species